UACGUAGGGUGCAAGCGUUUGUCCGGAAUUAUUGGGCGUAAAGAGCUCGUAGGCGGUUCGUCGCGUCGGCUGUGAAAUCCCGAGGCUCAACCUCGGGUCUGCAGUCGAUACGGGCGGACUGGAGUUCGGCAGGGGAGACUGGAAUUCCUGGUGUAGCGGUGAAAUGCGCAGAUAUCAGGAGGAACACCGGUGGCGAAGGCGGGUCUCUGGGCCGAUACUGACGCUGGAGGAGCGAAAGCGUGGGGAGCGAA
rnacentral:rRNA from 1 species